AGUGAACGCUGGCGGUAGGCCUAACACAUGCAAGUCGAACGGCAGCACAGUAAGAGCUUGCUCUUACGGGUGGCGAGUGGCGGACGGGUGAGGAAUACAUCGGAAUCUACUUUUUCGUGGGGGAUAACGUAGGGAAACUUACGCUAAUACCGCAUACGACCUACGGGUGAAAGCAGGGGAUCUUCGGACCUUGCGCGAUUGAAUGAGCCGAUGUCGGAUUAGCUAGUUGGCGGGGUAAAGGCCCACCAAGGCGACGAUCCGUAGCUGGUCUGAGAGGAUGAUCCGCCACACUGGAACUGAGACACGGUCCAGACUCCUACGGGAGGAAGCAGUGGGGAAUAUUGGACAAUGGGCGCAAGCCUGAUCCAGCCAUACCGCGUGGGUGAAGAAGGCCUUCGGGUUGUAAAGCCCUUUUGUUGGGAAAGAAAAGCAGCAGGUUAAUACCCCGCUGUUCUGACGGUACCCAAAGAAUAAGCACCGGCUAACUUCGUG
rnacentral:rRNA from 1 species